UUUGAGUUGACUUUUGAGGCACUUUUUACUCAGUUGUUCUAUGGAAACGGUUCAGGACAAAUAAAACGCUAACCAAACGUUAUUCUGUCCAGAGUAACGUUAUCCAUGUAAGUAAUUUACCAGAUGAUAUCAAUUGACUACAUUAAUAAUGACAUUGUAUGAAACAAACUGUCUGCUUAAUCAGAUGAACAGACCCGCGUCAGUUAUUCGUGACUUCACUACGCCACGAGCAACACUUGAUUCAAUUAGAAAAAGCUUUUUUUAAAUGCCUCGCGUGACGUCUGGUAUAUUAACUGAAAAAAUUGCUUUGAAGUGCCACACCUUAAAGCUGACGUUUUCAGAAGAGGACCUUGUUUUAAGAUCUCAUUUUGUCCAAAAUUGCGUCCUAUGACAGAUAUAAUACUUAUUUCAUUAUUGCUCUGUGUAUGUGUGACCUUAAUCAUUUGAGGUUGUGUGUUGAUUUCACCUCUGAAUAUUUCCUCUUAUAGGUCCAUCAUCCUUGCAUGCGCUACACACUCAAAAGCAUUGAUAAAUGCUGAAUUUAAAAGAAUCACUACUGUCUUAUGUUCCUGCGUGUCACCUGGACCUCCAAUCCAAAAACCUGACGAAACUCUUCUAUCAGAAAGGAGGACAGCUAGCAAAAAGACUUAGAACAAUCAAUGAUCAAAUGACAGAAGGCAUGGAUGAAGUCAGCAUCAGUGUGGUCAUUUGAAGACACCACUGUUGGGAUUUGUGCUCUCAAACAACAUGCUUCUUGUGAUGAAGAAGAGGAUCUUUGUAUAGUCCUGGAAGGCAUGAAGGUGUUGCAACAUCGUGCCAUGUUGUUUGAGCUGAUGUAUGCCUUAAACCUGAGCUAUCCUGAUCUCUGCUUUAUUUUUGAAGAAAUCCAAAAGAUUUUAAUGGAACUGCAUUGAGCGUAACUUUAACGAACAGUUUCUUUCAGUGAAAGGAUCAGAAAGACUGUGCUGCUCAUUUAUGUUCUUUUUAUUUAUCUGUUUUAAGUGUUUUUUCUUAGUUUAUACUAGUGAUGCACCGAUGUAUCGGCCGCCGAUAUUUAUCGGCCGAUUUUUUAUGAAUUUGAAACCAUCGGCAUAUCGGCUAUAGCAUGAGAAAGGCCGAUACCGAUAGUUUAUUAAUUAACUGCAUAAAGAAGGUUGUCAAGCUGUCUUAUUAUAUUUGUUUUAGCUUAAUUUGUGCCUCUCUUAUUAUGUUGGUCAGUUAAAUGUUAAUUAGAUCCAAUCCAUGUUCAGUAAAAAUAAUUUGAUGCCGAAAUAAACUAGCUUAUAGACCAGCUGUACAGUAUGGUAUACAAGUGUUUAUUAUCGGUAUCGGCCAGAAGUUGUCUUUUUAAAUCGGUAUCGGCCCAAAAUAAUCCUAUCGGUGCAUCCCUAGUUUAUACAAAUGCUGUAGCUCUGACUUUCUGAAGGAUUGAUAUUUUCCAGUUUGUAAAUCCAUUUAAAAAAUAAUAGUACUUACUGUUUUGCAUGUCUCUUUGGAAUGCAGUGUUUGUGCUUUAGCACUUCUAAAUCUACUGUGAUAGUAACUAUUUUAAACAUUUGGGUCAGUUUUACAGAUGGGGCUUUUUCUAGUCCCAGACUUUUGCAAUGCCUUAAUUUGAAAACAUAUUGCACUGACAUAUAUCAGUGCCAUUGUUUUGUCUCAAGAUGUACUCCAGUGUUGUUUUUGUAAGGUAGGUUUGUUUGUAAACUUUUUUUGUAAAAAAUAUCCUAAUAUAACUAGGGCCUAGUCAUGGAUUAAUCUACAACCUGUUUGGGAAAUUGCCCCUUUGUAUGUACUGCAUGUGCUGAUUGUUGUAAUAGUUAUUGACUGUUAUUGAAUUAAUGUGUAGUGAUUUAAGUGAAUUGAUGAUCUGACA